AAAAAGUUUGAUUCUUGCUUUUAUAUUUGGCUUUAAACUUAUAAUGCAUGUAAAUUUUUAUUAGAUAUUUUAUUCUCAAUGAUUAUUUUAUAUUUUCAGUAUUAAAGUUUUUUUAAUUAUUUUUUUAAUUUGAGUUAUGUUUUUUAGAACUAAAAAAUGUUGUGCCAGCAUUUGCGGUUAUACAUCAAGUUCAAGUUAAUUUAUUUUAGUAUUUAGUUUAAAAAUAAUUUUCAAUUUUUGUAUUUAGGUGAAAUUUAUAUAUUUUUUUUUUUUUCUUCUAUUAAAGUUUUGGUUUAAACCAGGAUUAGAUACCCUGUUAUUCUUAAUUAAUUUAAUUUUCUAAGGUAGUAUAUUUUAUAAUUGAAAUUUAAUGGAUCUGGCGGUUUUUAAAUCUUUUUAGAGGAACCUGUAAUUUAAAUGAUAAUCCACGAUUUUUUUUACCUUAAUUUUCUUGUAUAUCUCUGUCGUUGAAUGUAUUGAUAAUUAAUUUUCUUUUUCUUUUAUUAGAUUUAUGUUAGGUCAAGAUGCAGUUAUAUUAAGGUUUUUAUGGGUUACAAUAAUUUUUUUUUUUUGAUUUUUUAUUUUGAUUAAAUUUGAAUUUGGAUUUAAUAGUAAUUUUUUUUAAUUAAUUUUUUGAAUUUUGCUCUUGAUUAUGUACAUAUCGCCCGUCACUCUCAUAAAUUGAGAUAAGUCGUAACAAAGUAGAUGUACUGGAAAGUGUAUCUAGAAA
rnacentral:ncRNA from 1 species